rnacentral:tRNA from 1 species
ACCCUUCUAGUAUAAGUAAUAUAUGUGACUUCCAAUCACUCGCUCUUGGUUAAAUUCCAAGGAAAGGUA